UAGGGAAUCUUGCGCAAUGGGCGAAAGCCUGACGCAGCAACGCCGCGUGCGGGAUGAAGGCCUUCGGGUUGUAAACCGCUUUCAGAAGGAACGAAAAUGACGGUACUUUCAGAAGAAGGUGCGGCCAACUACGUGCCAGCAGCCGCGGUGACACGUAGGCACCAAGCGUUGUCCGGAUUUAUUGGGCGUAAAGAGCUCGUAGGCGGUUCAGUAAGUCGGGUGUGAAAACUCUGGGCUCAACCCGGAGACGCCACCCGAUACUGCUGUGACUUGAGUUCGGUAGGGGAGUGGGGAAUUUCUAGUGUAGCGGUGAAAUGCGCAGAUAUUAGAAGGAACACCGGUGGCGAAGGCGCCACUCUGGGCCGAAACUGACGCUGAGGAGCGAAAGCGUGGGUAGCAAACAGGAUUAGAUACCCGCGUAGUCC
rnacentral:rRNA from 1 species